AGGGCGCUAUGCAGGUUGCCAAAAACUCUUCCCAAGAAACUAAAAAAUGGGGUGCAUUUUCCCAAAAUGCUACAGUAGCCAUGCUCUGCUGCUGCCACGGAGUAGCCGGGGUAGCUGAGCUGCUGCACGGCUUCCGCUGGGAAGCUGCUGUCAGGCCCUUUGCAGGAGAACAGCUCUCCAGGUGGCCUCUUGAAGGAGGUUCUCCCUCGAUCGCAGAUGUCACCCCGAGCAAGACGAGAAUCAGAGCAGCGACCCUGGGUGCCAGGCCCAGCCCAUGGGAGCCUGGUCUCUGCGGACACGGUCGGGCGCCCGCUCCUGCGCCCUGCGAGGCGGCCACUCAGGCUCCCAGCGCCGCCAGAAUACUUGCUGGGCAUCAAAGGCUGCCAGGCCAGGGCUGAGUGCCAUGGGGCAAAGGGAGAGAAAUGAACCAGUGAAGGGAAUUUCUCUCCUCUUUUCUCAGAAACUCCAACUAAAAAUAAAACACGGGACACUGUGAACGACUGAAAAUACAAGCCAGCACAGGGCGAGCACACCCACAGCGGCACAUACACACUCACGCGCACACUCACUCAGGGUGGGUGCCAACACGGCCUGACUUCAUACACGCAGAGACUGCCAGUACCAUAGGCUGCAGACUGUGCCGUAGAAUUGUGGUCAUUUUGACUUGUGUUAAGAUGGGCCUACGUUCAUAAUGCAGCAAACGAAUAAAACACACCGAGUUGCUCGAGAGCUUUGCUUCGCCAUCCAGCCUCGGCAAGAACAGAUCGCGUUGGAAGAGAACUCACCUUUGCACGUUAAUAUUAAUACAGAAAGAGGAAGGAAGGAAAUAACGGCAGCAAUUAGGAUCAUGCUGCACAGAGGAAACAGAAAGAGGCGAACGCUGCCAUAAGCAGAGUCCCGGAGGAAAGCAGGUGUCAAUUGACCAGAUAAGAUCCAUCACCAGACUUGAGAACCUUCUUCCCCUUCCUCUGGAAUGUCAGGAGUCUUGUGAGUGGCCAUGUGAUUGCAGAGGUUGAAGGUUCCCAGAAACUAAAGGCUGGAAUCAUUUUCCUAUGUGCGCACCCUCUCCCGGAGGUUAGACGGCCCCGCUGUGGUUAGUGUGGCAUUCGCUGUGUAUGUUUAUGCAACACGGCACAGACUGAGCCUUUCCCGCUGGACAUCUGAGUUCAGGAGAGGCUGUCUGUGGCUGGGAUUUGUGAAUGGCCCUGUCCACCAGGGUGCUUCUCACGCAUACGCCGCAUUCAUCGCCCUCUUCACGUUACUGCCCUUGAGACAUACUUAGAAUUCUGGAACCUGAGAGCCGGAAGGGGGCCUUGGAGAGCAGUGGGUCCACCCUCCUCUUUUCGCACUCACAACUGAUAACUGCAUUCCAAUUUGUCACCAGCAUUGCUUCUGGCAUGACGAGGGCUGCUAACACUGGGAAAAGGGUGGCUGUUCCUCUUCCCCGCAUUCUCAGCAAGGCCAAGGUCGUAGUCACCCCCCCCCCUCCCCCGCCAGCCUCACACACAGUUUUCACUGUUUGCUUUCUGCUGCUGUGUGAGGCAGCGUACAAAGCAACAGCCCUUUGUUGCUGAGGGCAGAACAAAACCCAGGCCUCCCAGCAGUGGAGAGAUUUAUAAGAGCUCAAGGAAGGUCAAAAGGGUAAAUUACCCUGCGACUUGGAUGCAAUCAGCAUCUUUGUAGCAUAUACCACAGGAUGAGGCUGAUUACUAGGAAGGCAAAGGUGGGAAAGAAGGAGCAUAAAUAAUCACAGAAAAUGAAGCUUGAACAAGCUAUGGUCCUCAUCAUUUUUUCAGUCUUUGCACAGCAUUCUGCCAAAUCUUUUUUGGAAAAGCAUUUAGGAAGAACGAACACUAAAGAUUCUUUCCGGAUUUACUUAACAGCAGGAACAGGAAAUAACUUGAUAUUGUGUGGGAUUGUCUCUAUUUUUAGUCAAGAAAGAAUAUGCCCAUAAAUCGGAUAGAAUGGUCCAGAAUUGAGAGCUAGGACUAUUGAGGAAGCACUUUCGUUUGGAAGAAGCAGCAAAGACUUCAUGGUGGAGGCGGCCCUUUCACAUCUCCUUCUCGUCUUCUUGCUGCAUUCUCUAUUGCUCCCUUUCACAGAUUUCUGAAAGAAGAUGAGUGUAUUUAGGUAAAAUUAGAAUACGCAUACCUUGAAUUCUCGUGCUCUCUCCUGUAUAUCCUGCACAGAAACCUGAAGUGCCCAUUGCAUCCUGGGAACUUUCGGCUCCAGGUAACCCCGCCAAAGCCCUCAGUGCGUGGCGCCGCAAAUGCUUUCUAGAACACAGUAAGCUCCACGAGGGCAGAAACUGUUGCUUGCCACCGUGUGCCCAACACAGAGGAAGUGCCCACUCUGUGCAAUGAAUGAAUGAUUGCGGCACCAGCUCUUUGGGGAGCUCUGUGGAUGGGAUUUCAAAUGGAACUGAGAAGACUGUUCCGGGGCAGUGUUUUGCCACAUCCCCUUGACCUUUAGACGUGCCAUUGCCCAUCCGCCUCAUCCUUGCAGGAUUCUGGUACCUAGCAUGGAGCAGACACUUGAAUAUUGGUGUAACGGCGUAAUGAAGGUGUCGUGGAAAUCGAGGAUGCGGGUUCCAUCCCUGGUCUCACUCAGUGGGUCGGGGAUUCGUCGUUCCUGUGAGCUCUGGUGUAGGUCACAGAUGCAGCUUGGAUCUGGUGUUGCUGUGGCUGUGGUGUAGGCCAGCAACCGCAGUUCCGAUGUGACCCCUAUCCUGGGAACGUCCAUAUGC
rnacentral:lncRNA from 1 species